ACCGGAUGAUGUAGGCAUUUACGGAGCAAGUCCCUAAAGCUCUCCCAAGUCUCAAAGAAAAGUUCCCCAUCUGUUUGUGUGAAACUUGUGAUUGCCCUUCGCAGCU